rnacentral:rRNA from 1 species
GACGAACCGUGCGAACGUUGUUCGGAUUCACUGGGCUUAAAGGGCGCGUAGGCGGGCACGUCCGUCGGGAGUGAAAUCCCCCGGCUCAACCGGGGAAUAGCUCCCGAGACCGCGUGCCUCGAGGGGGGUAGGGGUCGACGGAACUUCCGGUGGAGCGGUGAAAUGCGUAGAUAUCGGAAGGAACGCCGGUGGCGAAAGCGGUCGACUGGACCCCUUCUGACGCUGAGGCGCGAAAGCCAGGGGAGCAAACGGG